CAGUCGCCGCGGUAAAACGGAGGAUCCAAGCGUUAUCCGGAAUCAUUGGGUUUAAAGGUUCCGUAGGCGGUCUUGUAAGUCAGUGGUGAAAGCCCAUCGCUCAACGGUGGAACGGCCAUUGAUACUGCAGGACUUGAAUUAUUGGGAAGUAACUAGAAUAUGUAGUGUAGCGGUGAAAUGCUUAGAGAUUACAUGGAAUACCAAUUGCGAAGGCAGGUUACUACCAAUUGAUUGACGCUGAUGGACGAAAGCGUGGGUAGCGAACAGGAUUAGAUACCCCCGUAGUCCCUGUCUCUUAUAA
rnacentral:rRNA from 1 species